rnacentral:rRNA from 1 species
GACGAACGCUGGCGGCGUGCUUAACACAUGCAAGUCGAACGGAAAGGCCCGGUUCUUGUGGCGUGCUCGAGUGGCGAACGGGUGAGUAUCACGUGAGGAACCUGCCCCUAGCUGUGGGAUAACUCUAGGAAACUGGGGGUAAUACAGCAUAGGAGCUCCUGCGGCAUAGGGGGGGCUGGCAAGUUUCGGCGGUUGUGGAUGGACUGGAGGCUUAUCAGCUUGUUGGUGGUGUAGGGUUGUACGAGGUAUUCGACGGCUAGCCGGCCUUGGCGGGUGACCGGCCGCAAUACGGCUACGGAAAGGCGCAGCAGACUACGGCAGGAAGCAGUGGGGAAUAUUGCACAGCGAGGGGGAGCAUGAUGCCGCAGCGCUGCGUGCGGGAUGACGGGCUUCUAGGUGUAAACAACUUUCGCCUGCGAAGAAGAGUGAGUGACGGUAAUGGGUAAAGAAGCACCGGCUAACUACGUG